rnacentral:rRNA from 1 species
AGAACGAACGCUGGCGGCGUGCUUAACACAUGCAAGUCGAACGCGAAAGGGACUUCGGUCCUGAGUAAAGUGGCGCACGGGUGAGUAACGCGUAGAUAACCUGUCUUCAUGUCUGGAAUAAUACGCCGAAAGGGGUACUAAUACCGGAUAUUCUUGCUUUUCAUAAGUUAUGCAAGCAAAGGUGGCCUCUGCAUAUGCUACUGCAUGAAGAGGGGUCUGCGUACCAUUAGCUAGUAGGUGGGGUAAUGGCCUACCUAGGCGACGAUGGUUAGCGGGUCUGAGAGGAUGAUCCGCCACACUGGCACUGGAACACGGGCCAGACUCCUACGGGAGGCAGCAGUGAGGAAUAUUGCGCAAUGGGGGAAACCCUGACGCAGCGACGCCGCGUGAGUGAGGAAGGCCUUCGGGUCGUAAAGCUCUGUCAAGAGGAAAGAAGUGUACAAUGGCUAAUACCUGUUGUAUUUGACGGUACCUCUAAAGGAAGCACCGGCUAACUCCGUGCCAGCCGCGGC